rnacentral:lncRNA from 1 species
UCAAUCUGUCUUACAAUCAACUGUAUGGUGAAGUGCCGGAAACAUUGUGCAAGCUCAGCCAUUUGGAGAAACUCACUUUGAAAUACAAUUAUUUCACGCAGGUUGGACCAGAAUGUCGAAAGCUGAUAGAAGAAAAUGUUCUUGAUGUUAGCAUGAAUUGCAUUAUUGAUCUUGACAACCAGAGAAACCCGGACGAAUGUGAAGCUUUCUUCUUGAAGAAAUUUCAAUGCCCAGACAUGAAAUCACUAACCUAUGUACCUUGUAAUGUUCAUGAGUUUUCUCCUAGGAAGAUCAAUUCUGUAGGUCGACAUCAACCCGAUGCGAAGGCUCG